rnacentral:rRNA from 1 species
GAGAGAUUCAUCGUCAUUCCGCGGCGUACGGGCUGCGCGCUUCGAUGUCGUCGACCUCGGUCGUCAGGCACGACGCGCGUCCGUCGACGUCCGCGGACGGCGUGCACUUCUCUCUUAGUAAAUACAUCGCGACCCGUUCGAUGUCGGUCUAAGCGCCGUUCGGGAGCCCCAUGGUCCCUUAACGGGGACUGUGGGACCGCGACGGUGGCCGACCGGCCGUCGGACGGUAGUUCUGACGAAACGCGCACGCGUUUACAACGCGUCCGGCCCGACGCAAGUCAACGUCGUAUCCAACGUACCGCCUUAGCGCGGACGUAGGUGCGGCGCGUCUGUUGUUGCAGCCGUGCAGUCUCGGAC